AUGACUCUUGCUUUGGAACAUGAUUUGGUGCCUGUUUGUGAGCACAUUGCCCUAAAGGCUCCUUUGAGGUUAGAAAAGGUCACAUCAGUUUGCAUCCACUUUGUCAUCCUGGACUCCUUCUUUGGAAAAACUGCCGAAAGAUGUUUCUCUCUUCACUGAAGUGAUUAGUGCAAAGGACAGGUAUGGGGAAUCUCAAAAUAGAUAAAUCAAAAAGCCUAGCCUCAGUGAUUUAAGGAGUUCAGUAAACUGACCUAUAAAUAAAGCCAGCUGAAAGAAGUUUGGAACA
rnacentral:lncRNA from 12 species